rnacentral:rRNA from 1 species
GACGAAUGCCGGCUGCGUGCUUAACACAUGCAAGUCGAACGGUGAAAGGGAGCUUGCUCCCUGGAUCAGUGGCGAACGGGUGAGUAACACGUGGGCAACCUGCCCCUCACUCUGGGAUAACUCCGGGAAACCGGGGCUAAUACCGGAUACGACCUGGUGCGACAUCGCACCGGGUGGAAAGAACUUCGGUGAGGGAUGGGCCCGCGGCCUAUCAGCUUGUUGGUGGGGUAACGGCCCACCAAGGCGACGACGGGUAGCCGGCCUGAGAGGGCGACCGGCCACACUGGGACUGAGACACGGCCCAGACUCCUACGGGAGGCAGCAGUGGGGAAUAUUGCGCAAUGGGCGAAAGCCUGACGCAGCGACGCAGCGUGAGGGACGAAGGCCUUCGGGUUGUAAACCUCUUUCAGCGGGGACGAAGCGAAAGUGACGGUACCCGCAGAAGAAGCACCGGCUAACUACGUGCCAGCAGCCGCGGUAAUAC